GGGUGGUUGGCGCAAUGGUAGCGCGUUGGUUUUCGGCACCAAAGGUUGAGGGUUCGAGGUGAGCAUCCCUAUCCG